GUUGUUCAUCGUAUAUAUUGUUUAUAACAUUGUCAGUUUUUAUAUGCAUUUAAUAUUUUUAAAAAUAGUUCAAAAGCUGUCAAAAUAAAAUGGUGAAUUGAGUUUAAAUUAACCAGAAAAGAUAUGAACGUAAUCUUUGGAAUUCAACUUGUAAGGAUGUUCCAAGAACCACUUAGUUGGAGAAGGAAAACUGUGCCGUUCAUUAACAAGUUCGGUGCUUUAUAAUAUAUUUAAAGAUGGUAAGGACAUGAAGAAAACAGGUUUUUAAAUGAUGUUGUACAUCAUGCAGAUAGCUCAAAAGAAGAAAUAAGUUUUUUUUUUAAUGACAAAAAUAAAUAUAUAAUGUAAUCUUUGUUGCUGCCUUGUUCUAUAUAAAUGUUUCUUACAUGCAGGUAACAUUUAUAUAUGUAUUAGUUUGAAUAAAUCAUUUUAAUUAAGUUACAUUAUAGGCAGGAAUGUUUGACUGGAAAUAUAAAAGAUGUUGUACAUAAUGCAGAUAGCUCAGGCGAAAAAGAGUAUGUUAUACAUAUGCAUGCAUUAAAUAUUGUGGUGAAGUCAAGUUUUGAUGUUUUAGAUUCCGAAAUUCCAAAUACUGUUCGAAGAAUGGUAAGUGAAUUUAUGAGACUGCGAAGUUCAUCAAUAUGAAAAUGCAAAGAACCAAUGUUUAUAUGAAGGUACAAUUCAGAAUUUGAUUUUAAAGUUUUAUUGAGAUCAAGAAUAUCGCAGUAUUUGCAGUUGGAAUAAGAAUUAGAGAUUUUAUUUAUAUCCUUAAAAAAGUCUUUGAAUUGUAAUGGACUUUCUAAAGAAUUUAAGGUACUAGUUGAUAGAGUUUGACAUGAUAUAGUUAAAGAAAAUUCUAAGUCCAAAAGUGUGCUAAAUGGCAUAUUCUUAAUUAUGCAGUCACUACAAUACCAGUCAGAAAAGUCUUUGACAAGAAGAUUAUACAAAAAUUUGUUGAUUGAAUUGCACUUAGCAUGAACCCAAGAAGAACAAUAAUCACAUAAAAUGUCUCUUUGAUGAUUGGGCAUUUCUUUACAGUAUAUAAACUUAUCCAUAUAUAAUUCUAUAUAAUAAAAUACAAUAUUUCUAGGGGUUAUAUAUACCCUCGUUAUUCAAGCAAUACAAAAAAAAAAAAACCUGUUAAAAAACAAAUAAUAAAACUUCAAUGUAAUGUGUUCUUGCUUAAAUAACAAAAAUAAGGUUUCCAAAACGACAACGCGACGUAUUUUAAGAAAAAAGUGAGAGUCUUUGGAAAUUCAGUAUCACCAGUGCUCUCCAAAUGAAGGUGUUUUGUAUAAUUAAAAAAAAAAGUUUUAAAAUAGUCAUAUAAAUAAUUGUAGAUCUCUGGAAAGCGUCAAAUAUAUAAAAAAUUAUGUUAA